rnacentral:lncRNA from 1 species
GACAGUGGAGGGUCUGGAUACUCUCAAACUUAUUCCCAAGGCUAGAGCUUAUUUGCUUCCACUGCUCAUAAAACCUUAGGAAUGGUUGGGUCAGUCAUGGAUUUCCCAUCUACUGGUGUCAGUUUCCAAAUGGCAAAACAUGUAUGUGUACCUUUAAUGGGUCUCAUGUAACCAACCUAACAGAACCCUGAAAGAGAUUGGAGACUAUAACAAAUAGGAACCGAUGGCAUAUUUAUAAUGGAGUAACACAAAAGCAAUUUCCAUCCAAUAUUUUCAUGAAGAGGUGGGAUAGAUUUUCUUAUCUCUCUUAGUCAACAUUUUGCCCACAAAAGCAUACCUGAUGUGGUCAUACUUUAGAUAGGAGGUAGGACAUCCCUCAUGAUGGAUACCCUUUGGAGAAGACACUCUGGGACUCUUAACAACAACAAAAAAAAAAAUGUGGUCAUAAAAGUUCAAUUGUUCUGUGAUUAUGAACUUUGAAAAAGGAACCACAUCUGGAUGAAUAAAGCAAUGGAGUAUUUACUUUGUGUUAUUUUAGGUUUUAUUUUAUUUUGUUUCGUUUUGUUUUCUCUGGGUUUGGGUGUGAGAUGAGAAGAGUGUUUUAGUUUUGUUUAAAUAACAUCAAUCCUUGCACACUCUAUGCAAAACUUUUGUAAGCAUUGCAAUAAUGCUAUGAAUUACAAGGAACUAUUUUAACUUUAUUACACUUUCUGUAUAAAAACAAAUUUGUAUUUAAUAUUAUUUCAACUGCAGUCUUGUAAAAUAUAUUAAUAAAAAAUAAUGAUUGGUAAG